CAACUACUCCCUCCGUCCUAAAAUUCUUGUCUUAGGUUUGUCUAGAUAUGAAUGUAUGUAGUCACGUUUUAGUAUUNNGAUACAUCCAUUUCUAGAUAAAUCUAAGACAAUAAUUUGGGACGGAGGGAGUAUUUG
rfam:Hordeum vulgare subsp. vulgare, WGS project CAJW01000000 data, contig: morex_contig_2596835